UACAGAGGUGGCAAGCGUUGUUCGGAAUUACUGGGCGUAAAGGGCGCGUAGGCGGUCUCUUAAGUUUCGUGUGAAAUCCCUCGGCUCAACUGGGGAACUGCACGGGAAACUGGAAGGCUUGAGUUCGGGAGAGGGAAGCGGAAUUCCGGGUGUAGCGGUGAAGUGCGUAGAUAUCCGGAGGAACACCGGUGGCGAAGGCGGCUUCCUGGACCGACACUGACGCUGAGGCGCGAAAGCUAGGGGAGCAAACGGG
rnacentral:rRNA from 1 species